CCUGCCUGCAGCUGUGUGUGUGGGAGCCUGGCUUUGCCUGAAAUUGCUUCCUUUCAGUGUUGAGGGGCAGGGAUGCUGCAUGGUGUGGUGGGUUGUGCUGAGAGCCCACGACCCUGCAGAGUACCUGCAGCCCGGCCCCAGCAACCAUCACUCGGCCCCCCCAGCCCACAUUUGGGUGGCCACAAGUUGUUGCUUGCCCUGAGGCCAGGAGCCCCACUGGAAACCCUCCAGACACCUCCGUGCUGCCUUCUGCUGCUAGCUGGGGCUUCGCCUCGAACGGCUCUACCCGAAGGCAUCUGCAAGAAGACAACGUCGCCGCUCCCCGCGGGCAGGCGGCCAGGGCAGCCCGGAUUUCUUCCUCGGCCGCCGCAGCCGGCAAUUAAACCCCGGCGAUCGCCAGCAAACCCUGCCUGACCCAGCCGCUGCGCCGAAGCGCCCCGACCUGACGUUAUUGCGGCCGCCUUUGUGCAGCAAAUAGCAGCUCAAGAGCUCCUCGGUCAUCCCCCGUGCUGGACCAUGCCCCUACCUCAGACUACACGGCAAUGGCAUUGCGGUACCCGAGUUAAGGCCGAUUCUCUUAUCACGGCACGAGGGAUAUGAACACGUGUGGCUGGGAUGCUUUGCUUUGGCGCCGGGCACCUGUUGUGUGCAACGUGCCCACCACGCCGAAGUGCUCACCCAGAGCGAGUGAGACGUGAGGUGUUCUGUGCCGAGUGUGCUGCGUGCGCCUACACAGCGCAGUAAUUAAUAUCCUGCACUCCGUGCGGUUCGGAGGCAUUCAGUCCCUUCCCGCCCUACCCAAGCAGAAAGGAGCAAGUUGCUUUUAGCGUUUAAUUGAAACAAAUACCAUUUCUACAUCCCAGCUGGGGCUGAUUUGCUCUUAGUACAGCGCACGGCAAUGCCAGCUUCUUUUGGAGGGCAAACUAAGCUGUCCUUUAGGGGAGAUGCUUUCAGCAGCACCGCAGGUGAAGCUGAGCCAAAGAUGCUAAAUCCAUGUGAACUGCUCACUCCGGUUUCAGCGUGGGAAGGUGCCAGAUGUGUUUUAGAAGAACGAUGCUUUUGAGGCCCAUGCCCAUGUAUUUGCUGUCUGUGACCCACGGACCUCUCUGUGCAGUGUUCCUGACUGGCAGGCCCCCAGGCACGGCGGCUGCUCAGGAGCCGCGCUUCCUCAGCUGUGAAAUGAAGAUAAUUUACUGGAUCGCUUUCCGAGGGCACUGAGAGGGUAGGCGAGUCGUUUGGCAUAUGGGGCCUGCAGGUCCGAUGGGCUGUGUUCCUGCAAAGCCUCGUGCUCAGCUGCAGUGCACGCUGUGGCAGGGGCCUUGCUUUGCCCCAUGGCUCUGGGCCCCUCCUGCAGCAUCGCGGCUGGCUGGGUGCCCAUCGGGGCGCAAUGGAGGGGACCUCUCAGUCCAGCUGGGACCCCUCCUCAGGUUGGUGUAAAGCCGCUCCUGCUUCUGCCUCUCUUUGCCCCAUUGCCGGCCAUCCCCUUGCUGGGGCUCUCCUUCUCACUCCACGCGAGUCCUGGCGAUGUUUGCUGCAAGAUCAGAACUGGGGGAGAGGCAGCACGUCUGCCCGUGUGCUGAUGGCUCUCCUGGCACCGAGCACCUCUGGGACCCGGGUGCCACCAACACAGAAAGGAGUCAUCGCUCUCGUCUCCUACCCAAAUGGAGAAGGCAGUAAUUAAGGCUGCCGAGCACACACAUUUCUUCCAAAAUUACCUCAUUUAUUGAGAGGAUCAGAUGCCGCCGUCUUUCAUGGCUUCUUGCAAGGCUUGGAUCUUGUGGGAUGCGAGGCUAUUAAUAGGAACCAAUCUUUCCCCUUCUCCUCUAGGCUAAAGACAGACGGAUUCAGACAAGGGCCCCUUUGAUGUGAUGGAAGUGCAAAUAAACGCGGUGCCGUUUUGUUCCCGAGCUGGCAGCGGGUUCCUGCCGCUGUGCCUGUGCGAGGGCUCAGAGCCACGUGCCCCGGGAUGGGGUGGCCAAGGCGAAGGGCAGCCCGCGAUCCCCAGCCAUGGCGGCUCCCUGGGGACACAGGCAGCACCAGGCUCCGUUUUGCAGAGAUUUCUUUAUCUGAAACAGAGCACGAUGCAGCCACGUAGAAAAGGGAACAGUGUGGUGGCUCGCUCUGGCAGCAGGCGCAGCUUUCCUUCGCAUGCUGUGAGCAGCCUCAGCGGGAGGGCUUCUCCCACAUAAGCCUCCAACACGAAGCCCAGCUAGGAGAGUCGGCUGCGACACGGGCAGCGAGGGGCACGGCAGCCUGGCUCCCUGUUCCUCCACCCUCAGCUCUUGGCAAUGGGCCUCCUUUCACGCCCCUAAUUUUUGGGCGCGACGAUGGGUGCUGCAGGGGGAGGCGUUCGUGUCUCCAGCCGGUGGAACAGGGGGGACGCAGCCGCUGGCACCCAGGAGGGAGGCGGUGACAGCCCCACGGGGCGUGCACUGCCCAGCCCUGGCUCCGGCUGCUGUUUGCCUGCAGCUGACGUCGGGCACCCGCGGGUGCAGUUGGGCGGCGGGGGCCAGAUGCACGAUAUUGGAUUCGGGUGAAUGAUCAGCCAGGGCGGUGAACGCCAAUUUCUGUGCAAAUAGACUUUGAGUAUGAAGAGCCAGGGAAGAGAAAUAACUAGAAAGCGUUUCACACGCAGCUAGAAUUGUUUCCAAGGAGCAUAUUGUGAAGGUUUUCCAGCAGGCGGGCUGGGUGCCCGCAGCCUUGCUGGCACGGCCGGGUGGCUCGGAGCCCCGUGCCCAGCUGGCUCCUGCCUGCAGCACCCCGAGCAAGUCCCAUCCCCACCAGGGCCCGUCCUGUCCCUGUGAUAGACCCAGCCUUGGGUGGCAAAGCCACCCUGCAGACCCAGUCUCUUAUUUUCGGCAUUGCAUAGCUUACUUUCCAUAUGAUGUUGUGACAUAAUCUAAAUUAACUUGUGCCGUUUCACUAUCAUCUGAGUGAUCGUUGGUUUUCUCCUUCUAUCCCUCAAAAUUUAUAGCUGAAUUAGUCAGUUAUUGAUUUUGGUUUUCUUUAUCAAGUUAUAUUCAAACCAGACCGUGGAACGGCAAAUGCUCUACGGUUCCCUCUUGACAUCUGUUUGCCUGAUCAGUCUGCGCAGUUGAAAAGCUCCUUUAAUGCCGGCUGAGAUGAGCUCUCAAACGGUGCUCGAGAGGGAUUCUUUUUACAGUUGUAAGGUAUUUGCUGUUACAGUCCUCACCUGCUACCAAUUGUUGGUAAUAACUGUUGUUUGUAAAUCUCGCCGUCCCUGAGGAUGCUGAGGGAGGGUGCAGGCAGAGGGACCCCUGGGGCUGUGCUGCCUGGGGGUCUCUGGGGGUCCCCCUGCCCCGUCUUGCUGCAGGGUGUCCCAUGGGGCAGGGCUGCGAUGAUCUUCUGGUGCACAGUCCAGGCAGGAUGCUGUGCCCACAGCGUGGCGGGGCCGCAGGGAGGAUCACGGGGGAUCUCGUGUAAGGUUAGCUCAGGCUUCUUGCUCUGCUCCAUGACAGCGGGCUCGUGCUGGCCGCAGGCACGCUUCUCUCUGCAGACACCUGUGUGGUGGGAAGAAAGCUGUUUCACACCGUGCUUGGCUAUAGCAACAUUGCUGUGUGUACGGCCGGGAGGCCAAGUCCAGUCCGGGCUAUGCAAGGGAUGGAGCCAGACCCAGCCCGUGGGGAGAGAGGCUCCUGGUGCUGCUCCUCCGGGGAAGAGCUUUGGGUUUUGGCCGUGCCUGCUGAGCUGCGGUGGCUGUUCGGGUGCUGAGGUUCUGGUUAUGCCCGAGCUCUGCGGAUGGCCUCAGGCGAGGGUGUCUUUCAACGCACAAAUGUCCCCGCUAACUCCCCAUUUGUAAGCGAAUAGGUAAUUUGUCUUUAGUUACCUUUCUGCCCACUAAAGAGGUGGCUCAGCCAUGAUGCUUGGACCUGAGCUCUGCUGAGGAGCCAUUUCAAAGGCCUUCUCGUUCCAGCUAGAAGUGGGCAGCGGUGAGCUCAUGCCGUGGAGAUCCUGGCACGGGCCACCUCCACCCCAGCACCCGUCCCACCCGGGGACGGCAGAGCCACGGCCUUCUGGCUGCCUUCCCUGUCCCUUGUGCUGCCUUUUUCUCAUUCAGCCACUCACAAAAGCACGCAGGAGGGACCCGCGAGGCGGUACUGGCUGCUCAGCCGUGCCUGGUGUUUUGGUUUCCUCUGUGCCUCGCUGGGGCUGGCGCACUCGAUUUGCUAGGCAGAGGAAGGGCUGAUCUCAUUAGGCAGUAAUUGAGAUACUUGUGUGAGCUGCGGGAAAUUGCAGCCCAGUGCUGGUCAGAAUUACUGUGCGGAGGAAGCUGAACCGAGGCAGGAGGGAAGCAGAAGCCCCACUCCUUCCAUGCUCGUUUGCCACCAAAUUGCACCUGAGCCUGAGAAAUCCUCCCCGUUACCUGGUGCCCUGCAGGGAGGCGCAGUGCCAGUGAGCGGGCACCUGCCAGCAACUUUCUUCUGUCUUUAAAACUCUGUAUUUUCUUCUCAGUGUUCAGGGUUUCAUUCAUGUCUGUUUCCAUUCCUUCACUGAAAGGAAAUGAGGGGAAAUAAAUAGUAGAGGCUGUCUUAAAAAUCUAGUCAUUCCAAAGGAGGGAACAGAAUGCUUAUUUAAAGAGAGAAAGAGAGCGCCCUUUUCUUCUUUUUUAAAAAAAGAAAAAGUCUCUUUGUAACUUUGAACUACUUAAAUUUGACAACUUCGUAUUCAGCCAUGUUUCAAAAUAUCUUAAUAAUGCAGGAAUUCCUGCAUCACAUGACAAUUUAUUUAGGCUUUGUGGAAAGUUCAUUUUUACAUUGCUGCACGGAGAGGAAGACAGCUGAAAAAUUUACUCACUGCCUUCUGCCUCUCCCUGAGCUGAGCUGAGCUGCCCGCCAGCUGACGCUGGGAGGGGAAUGCUUUUAUCGCUCGGAAUUAAGAAAUUACUUCUGUGCUUAAUUGGGACCUGCAGACUAACUUAGUGAAAUUAAUCAUUCAAGGUUUCAUCACUGAAUACUUGAGCUGUAACUUUUAGGUGAUUUGGGCUGAGCACCCGCUUAGCCAAAUGUCUGGAGGAAAGGCUCAAUCUGCAAUAAUCUGACAAAUAAUAAUCCGCACGGUGCCAGAAGUCCCGUGGGGCUACAGGGGCGUGAUGGGCAACCCGCGGCACGAGUGGUGCAGGAACCGCCGCGGCAGCAGCUUGGCUCUGGCGGGGCAUUUGGGCUCAGUCAUGAAAUAGAAGCCUACUACUGCUGUUAAUGACUGUUACUAGCUAUUAACGAGAGCAAGGCUGCCCAGGUGCCAGCCCUGCUGAGGCGUAAAGCAACCAGCUGGCUGGGGGCGUGUAGCAUGGAUGUGCCACCAGCACGCCACUGGGGACUGCAGUAGAGGCACCUGAGGCGCUGCAUGCCUCAGAGCUGCCUGCUGCAGCCCAGGGGCCGGGCUGUCCACGCGUGUCAGAGCUAGAAUCUGAGUGUCCUGCAGUCCAGGCUGCAUGAUGAUAGUCGCAGUGAGCCUGUUACUAAAGGAUUGCUACUGCAGUUAGUGCUGAUGUGCACGGACCGCUCUUCUUUGGGGGAAAAAAGGAAAUGGGCAGAGAUGCUUUCUGGUUUCUUUCUGUUCCCAUCAGUGGGAAGGAUGAGGAUUGGGAGCAGCAGUCACCAAGUCCGGCUGCACCAUCACAAGCCACCGGGAGCCAGCCCGGUGCAACCAGCACGGCACGAGGUGCGGGUACCCGGUGUGGGUGCGGGUUUGUGCCCAGCGCAGCCGCACAAAUGGCAUCUGCUCAGGCUGCGGGCCCCAGUUCUUAGGAGACGAUCUGUACUGGAGAAUGUCCUGUGUGGUUGGCAAUCUAAUUAGCAAGGGGCCAGAAGAAUGCAUUCUGAUGUUGCCAUCAUCUGAAUUAGAUUCAUUAUUUCUUUACAAUUUAUUUUGAUAAAAAAAUACUGCUUAAAUCAUUCCAGUCAAUUUCAAAGGAACAAAUAUUUCCUCCUGGAGUAUUAAGCAGAGCCAGGAGUCCAGCCAGGCAUUGCUGCUAAACAAAGCAGAAAGGAGUGGAUUUCCUGCUGUCCUCAACACAGCCUCCCCGAGCUGCUGCCCCGGCCCCGGGCUGCUGGGCUCUUCCAAGCUGCCCUGUGGGACCAGGAGAAGCGGAGGUCCCACCGGGGGAGCCUGCGUGGAGCCCUGGGGCAGAGGUUCGCAGCCUCACCUGCACGUCUCUCGUGGGCGGCAGAUGUGGGUGAGGAGCCCCCAGCCCAGGUGGGACCGACAGAGGGAAGAGAGGCUGGAAGCAGGAUGUUUGUGUGUGGGGUGUCAGUUCAAGACAAUCUGGAGAGGACAAUGCCUAAUGGGUGUUUCUGCUGGUUAGAGAAAUGGUGUGAUGUAUGUGAACACCGCAGCGCCCACCACUCUUGCCUGUGCUUCCUCAUGCAAGACUGAAGACACGGCGUGACUUUCCAUUCCCUUCUUAUCUCUGUCCCCAGAGAACGUUGUUAUUUCUGCUCAGACUAUUCAAGCACAAAUGUUUGAUGGUGAAUAAUAUUUUUGAUAGUUUAAUUGCCUUUUGUUUCCUAAUUAGAACUUGGCCUCGUCGUAAUGUCAGCCAGUUUCAGAAAGGAAUGUGAUGAUGGUGAGUUCCAUCGCGUGCUUUCCCUGUCAGGGGUGGUCGCAGCACCUUUGUUAAGAGUGUUCAGGAGAAAGCUGGGGGAGCUGGCGGAGCUGCAGAGGAGCCCUCGCGCAUCCCCAUCAGGGCAGGGUGCUCCCGUCCCGCAGCUCCGGUGCCUGAUGCAGGGGCACAGCGAAGGCAGGGCUGUCUUCUCUGGAAUUGCUCCUUCUGGUGCAGUUGGUGGACACAGGCGGCAGCAGGGAUGGCCAUUAAUCGUUCUAGUUGUUUUCCAUAUUGCCUCUUGCUGCUUACUAGUGCAGCUUGGAGAAGUGCGUUAAGGAGCUGGGAUGCGUCCCAGCCUUGGUGCUGCAUGGGAAUGCCCGGGGCACCCCGCCUGGCUGUGCCCCUGCUCAGACCGGUACCAGUGCAGUGGGCAGAGGGGCAAAGCUGCCCUGGAGCCUCCGCAAAGCUCAGCCUGCUCCUGGAGAGGUGCGGCAAGCUUUUGCAAACCUGCCACAACCAGAGGAGAGAACUAGUGGAGAUAGGAGUCCGGUUCCCUAAACAAUACUUUGCAGCACGCUUCACCUGCUAUGCAACUCUGAACUUACUGUUUGCUAAGGGGAGGGGGGGGGGGUGGUCUUUCAGUGAAAGAAAAGCAAAUGGGAGCUGACAAUGAGAGGUCUCAUCUUACCUGUGCUGGUGUCCCCAAAGCGCUGACCCUGGGCUAAGAGCGGUGGUGGCCCAGGGGGAGCCCGACAGCCCGUGGGCUGCAUGUUGUGCUGGGCGAGGUGAGUGCUGGGAGAACGCCUGCCUUGUCAGCUCCAAUUUUCUUAAUUUUUAGUAAGAACUGUUUGCAUUUAUUUAUCCCUUGUGGUCCUUUGGGCACCUUACGGUUGCUCACUAAUGAAUCCCCACACAACCUCAUUAGGGCGAUGCUCCCGUUCCUGAUUUACCUCCAGGCAGCCCCGCUGCAGGAAGCCGUCCGAAGACAUUUGGGAGAGCAGAGGGCAGCGAGCGCAGGUGGGGCGCAGAUUUCCUCUCCCCCCUUGCAGCCACGUGAGCAAUCGCACUCCAGAUAACGCUGCCAGCAGAGCGAGCAGCAGAAGACAAGCUCGCUGCUUGGCUAUUACACAAGCAAACCGCCGAGAGUCGGAGCCCAGCUGGAUCCAUCCCCAGCACACACAUUAUCCCCUACCAGCGCUGCUGAGGAACGAGGCGGGUUUGUGCUUGUUCACAUCCCAUGGAGGCAACUAAGGCAAUCAAUGCCUAAUAUUCCUAAUUCCAAAACGAUGUGCAUUUCUGGAAAUAC